AACGAACGCUGGCGGCAUGCCUAACACAUGCAAGUCGAACGAGACCUUCGGGUCUAGUGGCGCACGGGUGCGUAACGCGUGGGAACCUGCCCUUAGGUUCGGAAUAACUCCCCGAAAGGGGUGCUAAUACCGGAUAAUGUCUUCGGACCAAAGAUUUCUCGCCUUUGGAUGGGGCCGCGUUGGAUUAGCUAGUUGGUAGGGUAAUAGCCUACCACGGCGACGAUCCAUAGCUGGUCUGAGAGGAGGAUCAGCCACACUGGGACUGAGACACGGCCCAGACUCCGACGGGAGGGAGCAGAGGGGAAUAUUGGACAAUGGGCGAAAGCCUGAUCCAGCAAUGCCGCGUGAGUGAUGAAGGCCUUAGGGUUGUAAAGCUCUUUUACCCGGGAUGAUAAUGACAGUACCGGGAGAAUAAGCUCCGGCUAACUCCGUG
rnacentral:rRNA from 1 species